UGUCCUGUUAGUGGUGUCAUUAGUGGAAAAAUAAACCCAGCCUACUCCUUCAUGCCAUGUUUUCUUUGUGUCUCUACUCAUGCCUCUGGAAAGGACAAUGCUACAUUUGUGGUCACAAGACUUGUCAGCAAACAGAUGCCUUUGUGAAAACAGCUCCUGCUUUACACUUCAAAACCGAGAAACUACUUUAAAGGACAAAAUUUUGCACUGAUGGAAGGAUUUAACUCAAGUCGAGAAGGCAUGUCCAGAUAUAGGAGGAGGAAUAAACUCACUCCUUGCAACUUAACCACACACAGUUUCAUGCGUGGCUGCUUGGAUUUCAGGGACUUUCUUUGUGUUGGUAGAGGGGACAAUGCACCCCAGCUUGAUGGAUUGCAAGAGGAGCAGCUCACCACUAGAAAGAUGCCAGAGCUCUACACCAAAAAAAUAAAGAACCCACUCACGGGCUGCAACAGCUUUUGCUAAAUGGAGUUCCAGUGCAAUGGCAAGGGCAUGACAGCUUGGGAACCUGAGAGUCUCUCUUGGAAAAGUGCUUCUCUGGCCUGAAUGACAGUUCCUGUGGGUUUCCUGUAACAACAGUCUCUGCCAAAUUAACAGCUUAAAUGCCACAUAGAGACACCCUCCCCAUGCUUUAAGAUUUCCUGCCUGGCAUGCUGGCUCUGAAGAGCACUUAAUUUCUUGGAUCACCUGCUCAUAUCACAACUAUCAUAAAGAUUUAUGUAAACAGGGAGUAAAAACAAGUGCAUUUAUUUGAGGUUUUUUUUUUUUUUUCUAGUGUUACAAGGAAACCAGGAAGGAUAGGGACAGCUCAAAAAAACCAAGUUUUUUUGCUUAUUAUUGUUUUUUGCUUAUUAUUGUUUAUUAUCUUUCUCAGGCAAAUAGUUUUAUGCAGAAGGCUACCCCUGGAAAUAGAAACAUGUUUUAUGUUGGCAGUUGCAAAAGUUUUUUCACAAAUCUGAGAGUUACUAAUAUUUAACAGGAGAAAUUAAAUAAAUAAAAAAAACAAAGCUGAGCUUUUCCUCCUAAGUGCACUGUUGAACUAAGGAAAAAUUCAAAUGUC